CCUACGGCGUGCAGCAGUGGGGAAUAUUGGACAAUGGGCGAAAGCCUGAUCCAGCCAUGCCGCGUGUGUGAAGAAGGCCUUCGGGUUGUAAAGCACUUUCAGUGGGGAAGAAAGCCUUGGGGCUAAUACCCUCGAGGAAGGACAUCACCCACAGAAGAAGCACCGGCUAACUCCGUGCCAGCAGCCGCGGUAAUACGGAGGGUGCGAGCGUUAAUCGGAAUUACUGGGCGUAAAGCGCGCGUAGGCGGUCUGAUAAGCCGGUUGUGAAAGCCCCGGGCUCAACCUGGGAACGGCAUCCGGAACUGUCAGGCUAGAGUGCAGGAGAGGAAGGUAGAAUUCCCGGUGUAGCGGUGAAAUGCGUAGAGAUCGGGAGGAAUACCAGUGGCGAAGGCGGCCUUCUGGACUGACACUGACGCUGAGGUGCGAAAGCGUGGGUAGCAAACAGGAUUAGAUACCCGGGUAGUC
rnacentral:rRNA from 1 species